rnacentral:rRNA from 1 species
GACGAACGCUGGCGGCGUGCCUAAUACAUGCAAGUCGAGCGAUGACGACUGGUGCUUGCACCAAUUUGAAGAGCCACGAACGGGUGAGUAACGCGUGGGAAAUCUGCCUUUGAGCGGGGGACAACAUCUGGAAACGAAUGCUAAUACCGCUUAACAACUUUCAACCUAAGUUUUAAGUUUGAAAGACGCAAUUGCAUAACCCAAAGCAGCUCCCGCGUUGUCUUAGCUAGCUGGUGAGGUAAAGGAGUAUCACGGCGAUGAUACAUAGCAGCCCUGAGAGGGUUAUCGGGCACAUUGGGACUGAGACACGGCCCAAACUCCUACGAGAGGCAGCAGUAGUGAAUCUUCGGCCAUGGACGCAAGACCGAGCGAGCAACACCGCGUGAGUGAAGAAGGCUUCCGGAUCGUAAAACUCUGCUGGUAGGGAAGAGCGUUGGUGAGACUGGAAAGCUCAUCAAGUGACGGUAACCACUCAGAAAGAGACGGCUAACUACGUG